rnacentral:rRNA from 1 species
UACGAACUGUGCGAACGUUAUUCGGAAUCACUGGGCUUACAGGGUGCGUAGGCGGCUCAACAAGUCAGGUGUGAAAGCCCCCGGCUCAACCGGGGAACUGCGCUUGAAACUGUUAGGCUCGAGUCAGCUAGAGGUACACGGAACUUCCAGUGGAGCGGUGAAAUGUGUUGAUAUUGGAAGAACACCAGUGGCGAAGGCGGCUCACUGGUCCGGUACUGACGCUGAGGUGCGAAAGCGUGGGGAGCAAACAGG